rnacentral:rRNA from 1 species
CAGUAGCCACGGUAAUACGAAGGGUGCAAGCGUUAAUCGGAAUUACUGGGCGUAAAGCGCGCGUAGGUGGUUUGGUAAGAUGGAUGUGAAAUCCCCGGGCUCAACCUGGGAACUGCAUCCAUAACUGCCUGACUAGAGUACGGUAGAGGGUGGUGGAAUUUCCUGUGUAGCGGUGAAAUGCGUAGAUAUAGGAAGGAACACCAGUGGCGAAGGCGACCACCUGGACUGAUACUGACACUGAGGUGCGAAAGCGUGGGGAGCAAACAGGAUUAGAUACCCCUGUAGUCCCUGUCUCUUAUAC